GCCAUCAUAGCUCAAUAGUAGAGCACUUGCCUAGUAAGAAAAGGCGUUGGGUUCAAAUCCCUCUAGUGCCC
rnacentral:tRNA from 1 species